rnacentral:rRNA from 1 species
CCUACGGGUGGCUGCAGUGAGGAAUAUUGGUCAAUGUGCGAGAGCCUGAACCAGCAAAGUCGCGUGAGGGAGUACUGCCCUAUGGGUUGUAAACCUCUUUUGUCGGGGAGCAAAAGCCGGACGUGUCCGGCUGUGAGAGUACCCGAAGCAAAAGCAUCGGCUAACUCCGUGCCAGCAGCCGCGGUAAUACGUAGGAUGCGAGCGUUAUCCGGAUUUAUUGGGUGUAAUGGGUGCGCAGGCAGAUUUUUAAGUCAGCGGUCGAAUCGUGAGGCUCAACCCCAUCCAGCCGUUGAAACUGGGGAUCUAGAGUGUGCGAGAGGUAUGCGGAAUUCGUGGUGUAGUGGUGAAAUGCAUAGAUAUCACGCAGAACCCCGAUUGCGAAGGCAGCAUACCGGUGCACAACUGACGCGCAGGCACGAAAGCGUGGGUAUCGAACAGGAUUAGAUACCCCUGUAGUC